AUGUGCCUCCAGCUCCAGCAGGACACACACAGCCCACGCUCCUGACGCUCGCUUGGCCACCGAGAGGCCUGAAGCAAUGCAGAGAGGUGGGAAAGAGGAGCGAGCAAGGCGCCAGCCCCGUCACUUACUGACCGAGGAAAUGACCAGGCUUUACCAGUAAGCAAGGGAGUGAGAGGUGUUUCCUGAGCUGAGGGGAAGAGCUUGUACUUCCAUGCUGCACGAAAACAGCUUGGAGUCAGCCCACCUAAAGACCUGUCUGGGUUCUGAUGUAGUCUGCUCGCUGCCUAACUCUGCAGAUGCUGAAAACCUCCCCUGAACCACGCAUGCAU